rnacentral:rRNA from 1 species
CAGUAACGGCGAGUGAAGCGGCAACAGCUCAAAUUUGAAAUCUGGCUCCUUCGGGGUCCGAAUUGUAAUUUGUAGAGAGUGCUUCGGGCGAGACCUCGGUCUAAGUCCAUUGGAACAUGGUGUCAUAGAGGGUGAGAAUCCCGUAUGCGACCGUGGCUCGAGCCCAUGUGAAGCCUCUUCGACGAGUCGAGUUGUUUGGGAAUGCAGCUCAAAACGGGUGGUAAAUUUCAUCUAAAGCUAAAUACUGGCUGGAGACCGAUAGCGCACAAGUAGAGUGAUCGAAAGAUGAAAAGCACUUUGGAAAGAGAGUCAAACAGUACGUGAAAUUGUUGAAAGGGAAGCGCUUGCAACCAGACCUGCCCGUAGGCGAUCAGCCGCUGUUCUCAGCGGUGCACUCGCUCUGCGAUCAGGCCAGCAUCGGUUUCGGCGGUCGGAUAAAGGCCUUGGGAAUGUAGCUCCCCUUCGGGGGAGUCUUAUAGCCCUCGGUGCAAUGCGGCCAGCCGGGACCGAGGACCGCGCUUCGGCUAGGAUGCUGGCGUAAUGGUUGUAAACGACCCGUCUUGAAACACGGACCAAGGAGUCUAACAUCUAUGCGAGUGUUUGGGUGUCAAACCCAUACGCGGAAUGAAAGUGAACGGAGGUGAGAACCCUUAAGGGCGCAUCAUCGACCGAUCCAGAUGUCUUCGGAUGGAUUUGAGUAUGAGCAUAGCUGUUGGGACCCGAAAGAUGGUGAACUAUGCCUGAAUAGGGUGAAGCCAGAGGAAACUCUGGUGGAGGCUCGCAGCGGUUCUGACGUGCAAAUCGAUCGUCAAAUUUGGGUAUAGGGGCGAAAGACUAAUC